GUUGCCAGCGAUUCGGUCGGGAACUCAAAGGAGACUGCCAGUGAUAAACUGGAGGAAGGUGGGGAUGACGUCAAGUCAUCAUGGCCCUUACGACCAGGGCUACACACGUGCUACAAUGGCGCAUACAAAGAGAAGCGACCUCGCGAGAGCAAGCGGACCUCAUAAAGUGCGUCGUAGUCCGGAUUGGAGUCUGCAACUCGACUCCAUGAAGUCGGAAUCGCUAGUAAUCGUGGAUCAGAAUGCCACGGUGAAUACGUUCCCGGGCCUUGUACACACCGCCCGUCACACCAUGGGAGUGGGUUGCAAAAGAAGUAGGUAGCUUAACCUUCGGGAGGGCGCUUACCACUUUGUGAUUCAUGACUGGGGUGAAGUCGUAACAAGGUAACCGUAGGGGAACCUGC
rnacentral:rRNA from 1 species